AUUGAACGCUGGCGGCAGGCCUAACACAUGCAAGUAGAGCGGAGCGGCGGACGGGUGAGUAAUGCUUAGGAAUCUGCCUAUUAGUGGGGGACAACAUCUCGAAAGGGCUGCUAAUAACGCAUACUCAUAGAUGAGCCUAAGUCGGAUUAGAUAGUGGGGGGGGUAACGGCCUACCAAGGCGACGAUCUGUAGCGGGUCUGAUAGGAUGAUACGCCACACUGGGACUGAGACACGGCCCAGACUCCUACGGGAGGCAGCAGUGGGGAAUAUUUGACAAUGGGGGGAACCCUGAUCCAGCCAUGCCGCGUGUGUGAAGAAGGCCUUAUGGUUGUAAAGCACUGUAAGCGAGGAGGCGUUACUCGCAUAAUAAGCACCGGCUAACUCUGUGCCAGCAGCCGCGGUAAUUC
rnacentral:rRNA from 1 species